GAUAAUGGAGCUAUUACCAUGAUAUCAGCCCACCGGCGGAGCUCAAUGUGGAGGACACCGUCCCCUAUCUUCGACCAAGUAGACCAUUCAUCAUCAUCCGUAUACAGAGUCACAUCUUUAGGUAGUGAUGCUCUAUCAAUAAAAUGCAAAGAAGCUGUAGUCGCAACAGCUUUUACUUCAGCCCAGUCAGAAAAACUACUGCAAAGGUUGCCAAACUUUAUAGAUGCUACACUUCCACUGGCAGCAAGUAAAAUCCGAGGUUUUCUCGGAGCACCAGUCGGUUCUGCCAUUGGCUGAUUCAAUGUUUACCUGAUAAAAAAGAAGGUAAAGGAGAAAAAAAGCCAGCAAAUCUCAAUAACAGUGUGUUAAACCGUGCACAUAUCAACUGAUUGAAGAUUUUCAGAUUGUCAGCUCUUGAAGAGAAGCUCUUUGAGCACCACAACUAGUCAUGAAAUAAAUUGACAGAAUCUAUAUAGCAUGACAGAAUGUUUAUGACAUUCUAUAGUGACUAGCCUGGUUAAAUACAACUUCAGCAAGCCCGACUUUAUGAUAUAAGAAUAGGUAUGAACUUCACAGCAAAUAAAUUAAAUCUCAAAGCAUGUCAAUUCGGAGCAACGAGUCCAAUUGACAUGCGACUUAACUCAUUCAUGUAACCAAAUGCUGACUGAGCAAUGUUAUAGCAGUAUCAUUUUACAAUUGGGGCAUUUUCAGACAAUUAAUCUUUUUAGAUACGCGCAACUACGCGUGAUGGAACGAAAAAUCAAACACUCGCAGUGCGUAAUUAAAUUCUCACGACCUUGACAACAAAUUUGAGCCAAUGAUUCACCGCUACAGGACAUUCUGUAAACACCAAAUCAUACACAAUUUGGGAAAUAAUUGCUCCGUGUUCAAUUUCGUUUAUCAUUUCAAUUCAAUCGUAGAAUUCUAUAUAAGAGACUCUUAGACUUUCACAUAUAUCAGAACAUAUAUAAUAAAUCACAAGCAUCAAGAAAUAUAUGAAUAACAAAAAUAAAAAGGAAUUGAAUAAGUUACCUGAAAGAGAUACAANUAAAGCAAAAUGAGUAUCAGCAAAACCUACACAAAAUCAACUAUAUCACAGUAGGCUGCUAGACCACUUGAGACAAACUAUACGCCGACAAGGGUGUGUAAAUUGUAAUUGUGGUGUCUCUAUAUGUACAGGUACACUUUAAAAUAUAAAAUAUUCUUGUGAAGCUGUCCAAAAUACUUGAGGUCUAAGAACCCUACAAUGACCAAUUAGACUUCCUCUCUUGUUGUUCCAGAAAAUGAAAGGAAAAAAAAAAAAAAAAGAAGCCAAUUUAGGCCUCAUUCCUAAUUUAACCAAAAUCUAAGAGAGUAAAAGGACUAAAUUAAAUACCACAUAUAACUAUAUAAGACAAAUUACCUUCCCAAGGGUGUUUGCUGAUAAUGGAGCUAUUACCAUGAUAUCAGCCCACCGGCGGAGCUCAAUGUGGAGGACACCGUCCCCUAUCUUCGACCAAGUAGACCAUUCAUCAUCAUCCGUAUACAGAGUCACAUCUUUAGGUAGUGAUGCUCUAUCAAUAAAAUGCAAAGAAGCUGUAGUCGCAACAGCUUUUACUUCAGCCCAGUCAGAAAAACUACUGCAAAGGUUGCCAAACUUUAUAGAUGCUACACUUCCACUGGCAGCAAGUAAAAUCCGAGGUUUUCUCGGAGCACCAGUCGGUUCUGCCAUUGGCUGAUUCAAUGUUUACCUGA
rnacentral:lncRNA from 1 species